rnacentral:rRNA from 1 species
UAUACCGGUUCUCGUUAGAUCACCGAAGUCAAGCAUCAUUGGGCCCGGUCAGUACUUGGGUGGGUGACCACCUGGGAACACUGCGUGCCGUU